CAUCAAUACAGUAUACACCUAUGAACGCCACAAUAUCCCUUCACUUAUUGUUUUCGUCCCGAAAACUGAAUAUAUACAUAAACGACAAGCCUAAUAUACAAAAAAAAUAAAUCGCCAGGUAACAUCAUAUCACUUAACUAGCAACUUCAAGCACAUAUUUUCUAAAAUAUUUUCUUUGUCCCUACUCUACAGGACUAUUUCCGGCAUCACUUUUGCUCACUUACAUCAUAAUUACUACAAGGCUACAGCUACUCUAUCGUUGGUCUGCCGUUUAUACUGCCGGACUUACGCUAUCUCUGCCAAGAUAACUGUCUUUAACAUCUCUAUUUUUUUUUGUGCUUCCAUCGAAGCUACUAUGAUAUAUACCGUUCACGCGCGCAACAAAUAUAAGUACUCUAAUUUAAAGAUAUAAAAUGUCUUGGAAGCAACAAUACAUAUAACAUAAUUAUCAGUUCACACGAAAGUCAAAUAAAACUGUAGAAGGGAUGAACCAACGCAGAAAACGCCAGGACUUCACAGCUGGUAGGAAACAUAUUCUUGCCAGGUGACACUGGAUAGACGAUUUACUUCUGAUGAUUCAUACACAGCACAAAGGCACAACACGGGAAAUUUUCAAACUCAAAAGUCAAAAUACACAGCAUACAGGAAAGGAAACACAUAACUCACACACAGACAGUUCAAUUCAGUUUUGGUUGGC